CCUACGGGCGGCAGCAGUGAGGAAUAUUGGUCAAUGGGCGUAAGCCUGAACCAGCCAAGUCGCGUGAGGGAUGAAGGUUCUAUGGAUCGUAAACCUCUUUUAUAAGGGAAUAAAGUGCGGGACGUGUCCCGUUUUGUAUGUACCUUAUGAAUAAGGAUCGGCUAACUCCGUGCCAGCAGCCGCGGUAAUACGGAGGAUCCGAGCGUUAUCCGGAUUUCUUGGGUUUAAAGGGUGCGUAGGCGGCCUUUUAAGUCAGCGGUUAAAGUCUGUGGCUCAACCAUAGAAUUGCCGUUGAAACUGGGGGGCUUGAGUAUGUUUGAGGCAGGCGGAAUGCGUGGUGUAGCGGUGAAAUGCUUAGAUAUCACGCAGAACCCCGAUUGCGAAGGCAGCCUGCCAAGCCAUGACUGACGCUGAUGCACGAAAGCGUGGGGAUCAAACAGGAUUAGAUACCCUUGUAGUC
rnacentral:rRNA from 1 species